GGGGGUGUAGCUCAGUGGUAGAGCGCGUGCUUCGCAUGCACGAGGCCCUGGGUUCAAUCCCCAGCACCUCCA
rnacentral:tRNA from 2 species